CACCGUAUAACUUAGUCGGCCUCGUCUCUUCCUUUCCGCUCGCUCUCGCUCUCCGCUCGUUCUCACCCUUGCUCUCCGCUCGCGAACUCGAGCCACUCUUUCUCACCUUUCCUUGGCGUCGUCGUCCUCCCUGUCACCUCCUCUCACCAUCGCCGUCUCGGUCACCUUCUGCCAUCGCCGUCGUCCUCCCCGUCACCUUCUCUCGCCAUCGCCGUCCCGUCGCCUUCUGUCAUCGCCUGCAACUUCCGUCACCUGCAACUGCCGUCGCUUUCUUUCUGCCAUCGCUUGCAAUUGCCGUCGCCUUCUGUCAUCGUCUUCCCUGUCACCUGCAACUGCCUUCGGGGAAGAAGAAGAAGAGAGAAAGGGAGGGAGUUUGGGGGUGCGGCGGAGAGAUCUGGGUUUCAUUAUUUGGGAUUCUUCGUAGUCGGGGAAGAAGAAGGGAGAGAGAGGGAGGGAGUUUGAGGGGGGUGGGGCGCGAAGAGAUCUGGGAACCAGAUUUUCAGUUGUUUUUUUUU
rnacentral:lncRNA from 1 species